rnacentral:rRNA from 1 species
CUUUAUUGGAGAGUUUGAUCCUGGCUCAGGAUGAACGCUGGCGGCGUGCCUAAUACAUGCAAGUCGAGCGAAUGGAUUAAGAGCUUGCUCUUAUGAAGUUAGCGGCGGACGGGUGAGUAACACGUGGGUAACCUG